rnacentral:rRNA from 1 species
AUAAGAGGUCCCGCCUGCCCUGUGACCAUGUGUUCAACGGCCGCGGUAUUUUGACCGUGCAAAGGUAGCGCAAUCACUUGUCUUUUAAAUAAAGACCUGUAUGAAUGGCAUAACGAGGGCUUGACUGUCUCCUUUACCUAGUCAAUGAAAUUGAUCUCCCCGUGCAGAAGCGGGGAUAUUACUAUAAGACGAGAAGACCCUGUGGAGCUUAAGACAAUAGGAGGACUUUAUGUAGUAAACCUAAAAAGGGCAUAAACAAGUUCACACUCCCCCCAAUGUCUUCGGUUGGGGCGACCGCGGAGUAAAGAAUAACCUCCACAAGGACUAGGGUUUUAACCUUAAAUCCCAGAACGACAGUUCAAAGAAGCAAAAAUUUUGACCUAAGGAUCCGGCACAGCCGAUCAAUGGACCAAGUUACCCCAGGGAUAACAGCGCAAUCCCCUUCAAGAGUCCCUAUCGACAAGGGGGUUUACGACCUCGAUGUUGGAUCAGGGUAUCCUAAUGGUGUAGCCGCUAUUAAGGGUUCGUUUGUUCAACGAUUAAAACCC